rnacentral:tRNA from 1 species
GUGGAGAUGGCCGAGUUGGUCUAAGGCGCCAGAUUAAGGUUAUGGUCCGAAAGGGCUGGGUUCAAAUCCCACUCUCCACA